CACAGGCGUUAGAGCCACGAGCAGAGGUGGACCGUGAGGGCGCCGAACAUAGUCACGUGGCCUCCAUCGUGCCCCGCCCCCAGCCCUCUCCAUCACGCAGGCGCCGCCACGCCCUGGGCGGUGGCCACCCCCAGCUCCCACCAGUGUCUGUGCCUAUCUGUGGGUGAACGCGACGCAGGGUGUCCAGACGCUCGUUCACAGCCCCCUCAUCUGACAGAUGAGGAAACUGAGGCAGGAGUCCGUGCCCUGUGGACUCAGACACUGGGGGGAUCCGAGGACUCUUGGGGCCACUACGUUGACCCCGCCUGUAAAAUCCUCUUCGAAUCCAGAGCCCAGGACCUGCAGACACCCACUGCAGCUCUGUGGAGCGGAGCAGGCGCGCGUCCGGUCUCUCUCUCAACCAAUGGGAUGGAUGGUUAUCUCGCGCAGGACCCCUGGGGGCGGAGUCAAUGACGUAGCCCCGCCCUCUUGGCCCACCUCCUCGCACCUCCCGCUGGGAAACCAGGAAACCGAGUCCAGCUGCGCCCCCGGGUUUAGCUCUGCUUUGGAGGGCCUGCUGGGGGCUCACGAUGGGACAUCCUGGGUUCCAGUGUGGCCUCGGAUCCUUCCUAGCUGUGUGACCUUGGGCAAGUCCCUUACCCACUGCCUAGCCCUCGCAGGCUCCCUGGGCCUCAGCGCCCUCCGCGGAGGCUUAACCCAGGGACCCAGGCCGGAAAACUCCAUUUCCCAGGAUGCCUGUGUCAUGACAUCAUGCAGGUCUUGGCCCUUUCCUGUGGAAGACUCAUUUCCCAGAAUGCCUGGUUUCUGAUGUUGCCCAAGUCUUGGCACCUCCCACUAUGACAGCCCCAAAGCAUGCUGGGAAUCUCCUGUGGGCAGUCCCAGCUCCUGCAAGGUGCACAGGUGUGGUUCUUGGACCAUUUCUGGGGGAGAGGGAAGGGGAGGGAAUCAAUGCACAGGCGAGGCCCUGGCUCCCUGCUUUAUCAGCUGAGACUUUUUGCUCCUGUAAAAAAAAGACUCUAAUCCAGGACUUCAAUCCCCAGAAUUCCUUGCUCCACCUCAGAAUGCUUUGUAAUGUCACUGAAUUCUCACCUGGGCCCAGAGCGAGAUGGGGUAUUUAAACCCGGUUGUGAAUAGGCUCGGCCUCUUUUGGACUUCCAUUUUGGAGCAGACACCUCUCUUUCAUGAUGUGAGGUUAUCCUGUCUAGGCCUUUCUGGCCUAGGCAUGUGCUUUCUCAUUCUGUAUUUUCUUUAAUCCUUAACCUUUAAUAAACCUCAUAAAAAUAUAAUACUCCUUGCA
rnacentral:lncRNA from 1 species